CUGGAGUAUAAUUUAAUGGUUAUUCAGUUGGACAGAAAUAAUCAGACAAUAGCGCACUAAAAAAAGUUAAUAAAAGUAACAAAUUAAAAAUUUCGAAAUCUUGAUUCCCAGAUUAUAAUUCUAGAAUUUCUAAUACAUUUUGAUAAAUUCCAUUUAAUGUUUGUUUUGUGUUAGGAGCUGUGAUUUGAAAUUCAAAAAUGUUGAGAAGAUUUAUCCCAGUCAUGAAGAAUAAAACACUUUUGUUCAGUUACCUGUUGCCUUCUAGCAUUCGAUCAGUUCAAACGACUACUAAUAGCACUGAUACUUGUUCAAGUACCCGAAUGGUAGACAUUUCUUCACUUACAUCAAAGAAGACUCAUAAAAUUUCAGUAAACAAUUUAGUCAUGAAUUCCCGAAAUAUAAAGGAACCUUUAAAAAAAGUUAGAAAACUUAAUCAUAAACUGUUUUCUCCAGAAAAGCCAACUGAAUGUUGUAAUAAUCAAUGUGAAUGUUGUGUAUGGUUGUUGUAUGUAAAGGAAAUUGUAAUAUUUUAUGAUGGGGACAAAGAUAAAAUUGAAGAAGCUUUAAAUUGCAUUCCGAAUACAGAAACUCAAAACUACGUUAGGGAAAACUAUGAAUCUUUCAUUUAAGCAAAGUAGUUUAUGAAAAACUUGCUCAUUAUUA